CGCGUAUCCAACCUGCCCAUCACUUGGGGAUAACCUUGCGAAAGUAAGACUAAUACCCAAUGAUAUCUCUAGAAGACAUCUGAAGGAGAUUAAAGAUUUAUCGGUGAUGGAUGGGGAUGCGUCUGAUUAGCUUGUUGGCGGGGUAACGGCCCACCAAGGCGACGAUCAGUAGGGGUUCUGAGAGGAAGGUCCCCCACAUUGGAACUGAGACACGGUCCAA
rnacentral:rRNA from 1 species